rnacentral:lncRNA from 1 species
GCUGGGUAGUCCUAGGUGUGACCACAGUGCCUGUGUGACAGGUACAGCACAGGGCUGAGCAGCACACAGUUGGGCACAUCCGGAAAGCAGUGAUGACGUAAAGGAGACUCUUCCUUCCACCACAUGGGCCCACGGGUCUCCAGUUCACAAUAACCAAUACCAAAGCCAUAGAGCCAUUAAAAAGAAAAUAGAUAUUUGAGAGCCUUGCAAUACGAACUAAGAUUUUCAUUUCAGCAAAAUACGUUCAAGGAGAAUGCCUGCAGCUGAGCAGAGAAUUUAACCUAAGCUUCCUGGCAACUCAAGGUAAAGAAGAACACAAGAAAGAAACUGAAUAAAGUAGAACAGAAUGGAAACAACUAGAAAACAAAUAGAGCACAGGCCAAGGUGGCAGGAGGGAGACCAAAUACAGACGACAAUGAGUAUAAAUGGGUUCUUCUCUAAGAAAAAGGAAAAAAUGGAAUCCAGUGAUCAGCUGCUUACAAGUCAGGCCCGUAACAUGGCGAUGGAGACAGCAUACAAACUAAUGCCUCUCAGGCCACACAGCCUAUGGAAGCCUAAGGAAGCGGUAUCCCAGUGUUCCCAUCAGCCCAUGGUACACAUCUUCC